rnacentral:rRNA from 1 species
AGCGCGCGUAGGUGGUUUGUUAAGUUGGAUGUCGAAAGCCCCGGGCCUCAACCUGGGAACUGCAUCCAAAACUGGCAAGCUAGAGUAUGGUAGAGGGUGGUGGAAUUUCCUGUGUAGCGGUGAAAUGCGUAGAUAUAGGAAGGAACACCAGUGGCGAAGGCGACCACCUGGACUGAUACUGACACUGAGGUGCGAAAGCGUGGGGAGCAAACAGGAUUAGAUACCCCGGU